CUGCUGGCCCCUGGGUGUGUCUUGUUCAUCGAAGUUUAAUAAGGUCUUGUUGUUGUUGUUUGGUUUCUACCUAUUUUAAACGUCCGUCAGUUGGUAGUUAACGGACGUGUGUAAAGUGUGUGCUUUACCAAAGUUAAUCUUAACACAAAUGUGCUAUGGGAAGUCUAUAAGGUGGCUAAAAUACGUUUUGCUGCUGCCCCCAUACACAGCAAUACAUUACUUAGCUUCCGUGCCAGUACUCCUGCCUGCUUCUCCAAAACUGGGGGCGUGCCGACCACCGUCUACUGAAGGUAUCCUCAGUGAAUGAAACAAUGCUGCAUCUGUCUCUGUGUCGUCCGACGGGAUUUGGAAGGAGGCUCUUCCCCACCUGAUGUCUUUACUGAGUUACAAGAACAAGGGGAGCCGGGGAGCAUCUGCCGGAGCCGAGACAGGAGUCGCGAUGAAAGGCUGCUCUUACAGUAAGAGAACGAAUCAUUACAGCAGCGCAUACUGCCUAAUCAUAGACAAACAGAGGAAGGAUGACCACAUGGGUGUGUGUUCCACACACUACAAAUGAAGUAGAAUAAGGGAAAGCAAACCAGCAAUUACGUGCAAAUGCACAUUUUUGAGGCAACAAUCUGCUUUUUUUGCUGCCUGUUCAAGCAUUGCAAUAACAUGCCAUUUCAGAAGUUUGCACUGCACUAACUUUGGUGGCUAGGACUGAGAAAUAUCGAUACAGAAA